ACAGUUGUGGCUUAAUGGUUAGAGAGUUGGACUUAUAACCUGAAGGUGAACUUGAAAGUCAUGGGUUCAAGUCUCAGGUCCAGUA